ACAGAAACAGCCCUCAAUAUCUGAUUUAUGCAGCAAAGACAAAAUCAUUAUUCAUUCAUCAUUGUGGGAAAAAAAAAAAAAAUGUCUCUCUCUCUAACUAGAGUCCAAAAAUGCGCUUACAAGCCUUCAAGAUCUUGGCGCUGCUGUUUUUAUUUUUCUUGGUGUUUCUGACAGAUUCAAGGUCAUCAUCAAGUGGAGAUGAUAGUAAAGCAUACUGGUCAUGGAUCCUGCAAUACCUUUCAGAAACAGAUGAAGAUCUUCUCAAUGAGAAAGCCCUUGAGCAAAGUUGGAACGAAGUAGAUAUUGAAACAUUUCCUUUCAAUUUCAAAGCACCAAACCUCUUCCCAAUGCUAUCUUCAUCCUCUAACUCGGAAGAAAAAUCAUGUGCUAUAUUCCAAGAUUCACAACUGUGAUUUGGGGUAGUGUUAACAUCGGGUUUUUGCGAGGAAGAGAGAAGAUGUGAUGAAUCUAUGGUGCUCAAGUAUCUG
rnacentral:lncRNA from 1 species